AGCACUUGUGUGUAUGUCUUUGUUUAAUUUGUAACAAAGCCUUACCAACAGGUGCAAAUAGUGAAUCCUCCUUUGCAAUCCAGAAUUCUUUGUUAGUAUGAAUUAUGGUACAUGUAGGAAGGAAUAUA